rnacentral:rRNA from 1 species
AACUUUUAACAACGGAUCUCUUGGUUCUCGCAUCGAUGAAGAACGUAGCAAAGUGCGAUAACUAGUGUGAAUUGCAUAUUCAGUGAAUCAUCGAGUCUUUGAACGCAUCUUGCACCUGCUGGUAUUCCAGCAGGUACGCCUGUUUCAGUAUCAGA